GCCAUCUAAGGGAAACAAUAAUUUGAAUUGUCAACGACAUUGUUGAACAGUUUCAUUUCCGGUUACAACAAUGGAAGAGCUCCUUAAGUUUGCAAGUUUUAAAGCCAAUUUGAAGUUAAUUAACACCUGCAUCUACUAGUAAACAGUGAUUUUUCAAUUGGAAGAUUAUGCAACUUUAAUUGCAUGAAGUACUUUGAUGAGAUGCAUGCAUAUUCACCAGUCCGGCCAACCUGCCUCUGCCACUUGCUCCCUGCGAAGGUCCCCAGAACACGAAAGCACCCAC